rnacentral:rRNA from 1 species
GGCGGACGGGUUAGUAACGCGCUGGGAACGUACCCAGAUCUAAGGAAUAGCCACAUGGAAACGGUGAGUAAUACCUUAUACGCCCUUCGGGGGAAAGAUUUAUCGGAUUUGGAUCGGCCCGCGUUAGAUUAGGUAGUCUGUGGGGUAGUGGCCUACCAAGCCUACGAUCUAUAGCUGGUUUUAGAGGAUGAUCAGCAACACUGGGACUGAGACACGGCCCAGACUCCUACGGGAGGCAGCAGUGGGGAAUCUUAGACAAUGGGCGCAAGCCUGAUCUAGCCAUGCCGCGUGAGUGAUGAAGGUCUUAGGGUCGUAAAGCUCUUUCGCCUGUGAUGAUAAUGACAGUAGCAGGUAAAGAAACCCCGGCUAACUCCGUGCCAGCAGCCGCGGUAAUACGGAGGGGGUUAGCGUUGUUCGGAAUUACUGGGCGUAAAGCGCGC